UCGGUCAAAAUUUGUCACUUCCCAUGUUAAGUUGACUGGACGUUUCCAGUAGUAGUGAACAACAUAUCAAAAUAUGGGAACACAUUUUUUUGGUAACUUUAUGCACUUGGGUUGGACUUAGCCAUUUACGUGCGUCUCCCCACUCCCCGUAAUUAUUUCUAAAUGUCACCAAAAUUAUUAAAUAUCUCAUGUAACGUUGUCUGGAUGUGUCGCGUUAUGGUUAACAACAUAUCAAAAGGUGGAAAACUUUUUUGGCGCAAAUGUGCUUUUACAAGUUGUUUACGCUUUGCUGUACGUUUGAAUUCGCGCGAUUCAUGCGCGCUUCACCCGGAAAACGGGCAGGGCGGAAGCCGGCCGGCAGCCGCAGCCUAACCUGCAACUUGGCCAUGUGCUUGUCGUGUUGUUUGUAAACAGAGUCAGUAUUUUCUCAUAUUUUUGUAGUUUUUAACUAUUUCUCAAAGUUUGAGUUAUUUUCCCUUAUUCACUCGGGUAUAGUGAAUUAGUAGAAAUGUUAGCAAAGCGAUUGAAAAGACCGAAUUGUUUAAAACAAAUCAAAUCUGAAAGCCAACCCCCUGCAACUCUCAAGAGAAGUUUUCGUGCAAUCUUUUCACAAAACUUUGUAAUAGUCAAGACUACCCUCAGUUAUUUUAGUGUUUCUAGUAUUGAGUGCAUUUCAAGAAACAACAUGCAGAGGAAAGUGUUGAACUUCAGUGUGGACCCAACCUGAUCUAUACUCAGGCAGCCACAAGGGUAUCGACCUGCUGAACUUUUCAAACAACAUCAAGCGGCCCAGCCAGUAUGAAAGAUGAGACUAACUUUAUGAAAAUAGCUGUCAUCAAAGGUACCAAUUCUAUCUAUCAAGAAAGUCCACUUCUGUUAUUAUUUUUGAAUUUUUUUUUAGCCUUUCCUUACAACAGGAAUAUCUGUGCUUUUACACUAAACCUUUUGUAUACCUAGACAAUUUCUGUAUUGAUCUGUUGUUCGAUUUAUCAAUAAAUAUGUCAAUUUUAUUUUAA